CCGGUUUGUUCCGUCCUCUGCAACGUACCAUACCACCCCGGGAGGCUCUCAGAGGCAGAGCGUCUUGCUGGCCGACUCGCAGAUUAUAUUGUCUCUACCAGUACUUUACAGAACAAUCACGUGUUUAUUAAGCUAGUAUCUACCGUCUACUCCAAGCACUCCUACAGUUCCACUCUGUG